CCAUGUCCCUAAGUCAGGUGUGAACAUCCUUUGAGUUUAAGCAUAUCAAUAAGCGGAGGA
rnacentral:rRNA from 1 species